UACGGAGGGGGGCGAGCGUUGUCCGAAGUUACUGGGCGUAAAGCGCGCGUAGGCGGGUUGGUAAGUCCGCUGUGAAAGCCCGGAGCUUAACUCCGGAGGGUCGGUGGAUACUGCCAGUCUUGAAGGUGCUAGGGGGAGAUGGAAUUACCGGUGUAGCGGUGAAAUGCGUAGAUAUCGGUAGGAACACCAGUGGCGAAGGCGGUCUCCUGGGGCAUUCUUGACGCUGAGGCGCGAAAGCUGGGGGAGCAAACGGG
rnacentral:rRNA from 1 species